GAGGAGCGAGGAAGGACGCCAUGACCCAGACGAUGAAACGUUUUCUCCAGUUAUUAUUGGACUGCGGGUUGAUUUCGAAGAAACAGAGGGGUUGUUUUGCAAAAACGCCAGCGACGGACGACAGAAGCGCUCCUCGCUUUAUUAUUAGGGGAGAUAGUUCACCACACAUAUAUAUAGUUCAUCACCACACAUAUAUGAUAUACAUAUAAAGUUCAUCAAUGUGCAUCCUAUAUAUCGAAAGAACCAACAUACAAAGUUUUACACUGUUCAUCCAUAGAAACAUAUACAUAUAGUUCGACAUUGUUCA
rnacentral:lncRNA from 1 species